UAUUAAAAAUUACAUCAAUUUGUAUUGUUAAAAACUUACAUGGUUGACCGAAUAACCAGACAGGAACACAUGACGUGUCGCGUGUACCUUAUGCUGAUAUACACGAAUCAAUUUAACAACAAAAAUUAAUGAAAAAUUUUAACA
rfam:Gossypium raimondii Chr04_contig_35, whole genome shotgun sequence.